rnacentral:misc_RNA from 1 species
GCAGAAGUCUGUGCCCUUUGGAUCGGCUGUUGUUGAUUUGUAUGCAGGGUCUGGUGUCAUCGGAUUAUCUGUAGCUGCCACCCGAAAAUGCAGGUCUGUCAAAUGUGUUGAGAUCAAUAAAGAAUCAAAACUUUCUUUUGAAAAGUCAAUAAGUCGUUUACCGAAAACUAUAGAUAGCAGCAUCAGUUGGCACAAUACUGAUGCAUCAAUAGAACCCCUUCACUGGUUUGAGGGAUCAGAUGUCAUU